AUUGAACGCUGGCGGCAGGCCUAACACAUGCAAGUCGAGCGGCACGACGGGCGGGUGCGUAAUGCCUAUGAAUGUGCCUGGCAGUGGGGGGUAGCGUCCGGAAACGGACGCUAAUACCGCAUACUCUCAGAUACGCCUAGGUCGGAUUGGCUAGUUGGUGGGGUAAAUGCCUACCAAGGCGACGAUCCGUAACUGGUCUGAGAGGAUGAUCAGUCACACGGGAACUGAGACACGUUCCAGACUCCUACGGGAGGCAGCAGUGGGGAAUAGUGGACAAUGGGCGAAAGCCUGAUCCAGCCAUGCCGCGUGUGUGAAGAAGGUCUUCGGAUUGUAAAGCACUUUAAGUUGGGAGGCGUUACCAACAGAAUAAGCACCGGCUAACUUCGUGCCAGCAGCCGCGGUAAUAC
rnacentral:rRNA from 1 species